rnacentral:rRNA from 1 species
AUUGAACGCUGGCGGCAGGCUUAACACAUGCAAGUCGAGCGGAGAUGAGGUGCUUGCACCUUAUCUUAGCGGCGGACGGGUGAGUAAUGCUUAGGAAUCUGCCUAUUAGUGGGGGACAACAUUCCGAAAGGAAUGCUAAUACCGCAUACGCCCUACGGGGGAAAGCAGGGGAUCUUCGGACCUUGCGCUAAUAGAUGAGCCUAAGUCGGAUUAGCUAGUUGGUGGGGUAAAGGCCUACCAAGGCGACGAUCUGUAGCGGGUCUGAGAGGAUGACCCGCCACGCGGGGACUGAGACACGGCCCAGACUCCUACGGGAGGCAGCAGUGGGGAAUAUUGGACAAUGGGCGGAAGCCUGAUCCAGCCAUGCCGCGUGUGUGAAGAAGGCCUUUUGGUUGUAAGGCACUUUAAGCGAGGAGGAGGCUACCUGGAUUAAUACUCUAGGAUAGUGGACGUUACUCGCAGAAUAAGCACCGGCUAACUCUGUGCCAGCAGCCGCGGUAAGAC